AGUAGAUUGCUCUCUCAAGCGAAACCAGUGAAUGAUUCCAACAUCCAAUCGAAUUUUCGGAUGUAAUAAUUCCUCAUUGGGUGACCAAACAACUCCAGCUUGACUGUACAAGGCAGUGAUCAAUGAUGGAUACCAUAGUCCAUCAUGUGGUGAACGAGCUGACAUGAUAAUAUUGUUGAAGAUUAAUUGUCCAACAUCAAUAGAUUUCCUAGUCACAGUUGCAUAUAGGAGGACCGCUAGAUCCUUUGUCUCAUCACUUAAGUGUUUCACUCAGAGCAAUUUUAUAGCUAAGAAAUGAUACAAAA
rnacentral:lncRNA from 1 species